AUGAGUAAACAAAGAAUAACAAUGACAACUCCUUUCAUAACAAGGCAGCUGCAAGGAGUAAAAGCAGGAGGAUAUCGAAGAGACACAGACGCACACACACACACAAAUUGUACAACCAGAUAUCGGCUCUGGUGGACCUGCAUACGGUGCCAGGGCCGGUUUCUGAGCCACCUCCAUCCUUUCUGCAGCCUGCCAGGUGCAGGUCCAAGCCCAUGGAUGCUUCCAACCACGUUAACGGUGCUGCCUUCACAAAUCAUGUCGGUAUUUGCCCUGCUCUGGAUGAAGCUGCUGGACUGAACUUUCAGGAGGCUAUGGGAUGGGUAAUUUCACAUGGAAGCACAGAGGCAGAACCAGCUUUCAGAGCUGCGCUGCUGCCCUGAGCUCACACGCAGCCCCGAGCCCUUCCUCAAUGCUGCCUCUUCACUUCAGGCUGAUGUGUCAGGGCUUGCUUGUUUCUAAGAAGAUGAGUCCUCUGAGGAUGAGAUGGUGCUUCGAUUCAGCAGCUGGUGGCCACCUCGGGGAGCAGUGCAGAGACUGGAGGGCGUGGGGAGAAAGGAGGAUCUGAGGGGAGCAGUUAGGUGGAAGAAGGUGGUAGCCAUGCAGAGCACACUUCAAGGUUUACCUCCUGAGGCACUGCUGAGAUGAUCCGGAGAGAGUAAGUUUACUGAGGGGUGUGUGUGCACUCACAUGCGUGCGUGCGUGCGUGUGUGCCUGUGUAUAUACAAGGGCAUGAUUCUCCUGUUUAGUCUGCCCUCAACUAUUCAAAAACACAUCUUCUGUUUCUUCCUCUGUAAUAACAAUCUCUUCAUACCCAGCCCAGCCCUCGGCUUGCUACUGCAUCUAUUGUCAUCCAACUCAAUUCUGCAAUCCUUUCCCAGCACAGAGAGGAACCAAGGACUUCUGAAAACAAGCAGAC
rnacentral:lncRNA from 1 species